GAUGAACGCUGGCGGCGUGCCUAAUACAUGCAAGUCGAACGAAACUUCUUUAUCACCGAGUGCUUGCACUCACCGAUAAAGGGUUGAGUGGCGAACGGGUGAGUAACCCGUGGGCAGCCUGUCCAAAAGAGGGGGAUAACACUAGGAAACAGGUGCUAUUACAGCAUAACCAUCGUUACCGCAUGGCAACUAUGUAAAAGGUGGUUAUACUACCGCUUUUGGAUGGGCCCGCGGCGCAUUAGCUAGUUGGUAGGGUAAAGGCUUACCAAGGCAAUGAUGCGUAGCCGAAUUGAGAGGUUGAUCGGCCACAUUGGAACUGAGACACGGCCCAAACUCCUACGGGAGGCAGCAGUAGGGAAUCUUCCGCAAUGGGCGAAAGCCUGAUGGAGCAACGCCGCGUGAGUGAUGAAGGUCUUCGGAUCGUAAAACCCUGUUAUUAGAGAAGAAAGAACGUGAGAGUAACUGUUCACGUUUCGACGGUACCUAACCAGAAAGCCACGGCUAACUACGUG
rnacentral:rRNA from 1 species